rnacentral:rRNA from 1 species
UACGUAGGGUGCAAGCGUUGUCCGGAAUUAUUGGGCGUAAAGAGCUCGUAGGCGGUCUGUCGUGUCGGCUGUGAAAACCCGGAGCUCAACUCCGGGCCUGCAGUCGAUACGGGCAAACUGGAGUGUUGCAGGGGAGACUGGAAUUCCUGGUGUAGCGGUGAAAUGCGCAGAUAUCAGGAGGAACACCGGUGGCGAAGGCGGGUCUCGUGGGCAACAACUGACGCUGAGGAGCGAAAGCGUGGGGAGCGAACAGG